GGCGUAAAGCGCGCGUAGGCGGCUAAUUAAGUCAAAUGUGAAAUCCCCGAGCUUAACUUGGGAAUUGCAUUCGAUACUGGUUAGCUAGAGUGUGGGAGAGGAUGGUAGAAUUCCAGGUGUAGCGGUGAAAUGCGUAGAGAUCUGGAGGAAUACCGAUGGCGAAGGCAGCCAUCUGGCCUAACACUGACGCUGAGGUGCGAAAGCAUGGGGAGCAAACAGGAUUAGAUACCCUGGUAGUCCAUGCCGUAAACGAUGUCUACUAGCCGUUGGGGCCUUUGAGGCUUUAGUGGCGCAGCUAACGCGAUAAGUAGACCGCCUGGGGAGUACGGUCGCAAGACUAAAACUCAAAUGAAUUGACGGGGGCCCGCACAAGCGGUGGAGCAUGUGGUUUAAUUCGAUGCAACGCGAAGAACCUUACCUGGCCUUGACAUAGUAAGAACUUUCCAGAGAUGGAUUGGUGCCUUCGGGAACUUACAUACAGGUGCUGCAUGGCUGUCGUCAGCUCGUGUCGUGAGAUGUUGGGUUAAGUCCCGCAACGAGCGCAACCCU
rnacentral:rRNA from 1 species